UCAGAGACAGCCCGGCAGAUCUAUUCCCUUAAUAAAGGCUUGUUGUGGCCUGGUCUGGUCUUGGUCUUCGGCCCUUUUACCUGACAUUUCUGGUGCCGUGACUCGGAUGGUAGAUGGUCCAUUAAUGGACGAUCCCCCGCAGGACGGGGUUGAUUGACCUUUUGGCCAUCUCCAACGGACCUAUCUGCCGUUGCCAGGACCCUCCGGGGCUUUCUACCUUUGCCAUUGCUGACGCUACACAUCCACACCGGUCACCAAUGUCUGGGUGAGUAGGGAGUUCAGCCUCCCUCUCGUCGGGUUCUCUGUCUCGUUCUCUCUCCCUCCGGGGACUUCUCAGAAAUCCAAGCGCUUGGUCAGAGAAACCCCCCACGGCCUCUGGGCCCAGGACCGUGCCCCUGGGAGACGUCCCAUCGGCCCGCCUCCUCUCGUUCUCUCCCUCUGGGAGACUCACUCGGAGAUUGUCAAAGGAGACAAGGACGCUUCUCCCCUUUGUCUUUCUCCCCAGGGGCUGCCUCCUCCUCACCCGCUCUAAUCAGGGGGCCCAACAAUCCAAACCCCACCCCCACAACGCCUCUGGGCUGCCUUCUGGCACAACUCAAACCCCUCGGAUUGUUGGGACCAGACUUUAAGACAAAAAGAUUUGUUUUCUAUUGUAAUCAGGUUUGGCCUCAGUAUAAAUUAGAUAAUGGGUUUCCAUGCCCCAAAAAUGGCACUUUCAAUUUUAACAUGCUGUGUGAUUUACACAACUUCGGUCAACGCAAUGGCAAAUGGUCAGAAAUCCCCUACAUACAAGCCUUUUCUACCUAUGCUCUUAACCCUCCCUCUGUCAAACCUGUUCUCCUCAAGUACUCCUAGCCUGAGCCGAUCACUCACCGCUCAUACCUCCCCCACUUUAUAACUCUGUUGAUAAGAAAAAGUUUUAAAGUUUAAUAGAUUAGCUAUUAAAGUAGUUGUGGAAACAAACUAGGUAGUGUAUCCCUUUAAAAACUUGCCUUAGCCCAUUGCUUCUGCUGUUCAAAGUGAAGGUUAUAUAGCUUCUUUGAUUUGUAGCUCCACUAUAGAUAACAUCCUAACUAAAGAAUGAAGUGAAAAUCCUUGAACAAACUUGUGAUAUGUGUGCCUUAACUGUCAUGUGUUUAGGGCUGUAAUCAGUGACAAAAACCACCUGUGUCUAACCAUUAAACAGGAAUUAGAACUUUAUUUACUUAACAAAGACCACUAGGGAUGAGAUAAUGAUGGACAAAAGUAUAAAAUGUUUAUAGUGAGUCGGAGACAAAAUAUUUAAAAAGCUAUAAGUAAAAGAUAUAUUUUUGAUAUAAAAGGAUUUUAUAUGUUUGUCUUAUUAGCAGGACAAGACCAAAAGGCCUAAGUACAUCAAGAAGGUGUGCGAAAGUGAUUUAUAAAGGAAAUAUAUAUGUUUACUUGUUGGUUUCAAGUUUAUUAUAAAAGGUUUACAGGAAUAGGUUUCAUUCCUUCUGAUUUUAAUUCUACAAGAGAUCUCUG
rnacentral:lncRNA from 1 species